AAUCUACUUGAUGAGAUUGGCCAACUUCGUGAUUCUUUCUUUCUUUCUCGUUUUAUAAUAUUGUUCGCUCUUGUAGUUUUUAUGCAGAUUGUCUAGUUCGUUACUCUAAAUUUUAUACUUUAUAAAUCUUAUUUGUAAACUAUUUUCCUCCAAAAUGGGCUAUCAAUCGUAGAGUGAUUUUCUAAAUUAAUAUGUUCUUGACAUA
rnacentral:sRNA from 1 species